GAAAUAACACAUUCGUAUAAGAACCAUGUGUGGCUAAAGGCAAGAUUGUAGAGUACUCAAGUGUAUUACUAUGAAAAAGGGAAAAGACAUGAGGAGAGAGGAGCAAGAGACCGUAGCAAUAGAGCCGCUUAUCCAUGGUUCACAGCUGUUUGUUUGUUUACUCUUCAUUAUAUAUCUACCAUUGUUGAAGAGAACAUAAAAGCUCAAGGGAAUCUGAUUAUCAUUGCUUUGCUUCCAAGUGUUUCCGUAGUAACCGGAAGAGAGGACGAGAUCCUACACUAAUUUCAAAAAGCCAAUCUUUUUCUUA